AUCAGCCUCAUAGAUAUGGGUCAGUAGGGGCCUGCUGCGCCUACUGGUAGGCUCAGAGGGCUGUUAUCAUCCAUUCGCAUGGUUAAUCACGGAUAAAUACACGAGAAGACUCCAGAUCCAAUCCCAGAGCAAUCCAGGUCACCGCUAACCGGAAGUCUGUUGGAUAACGGCAUAUGUAUACACAGGUUGAAGAUGGCCCAGAGAGAGAGAACACAAAUUAAUGAAGAACAAAGGGAAACUUUGAAAACAUGUUUUGAGGAUGGAAUGACACGGGUUGGUUCCCCCCUCAUAUCAAGAGCUGCAUCAGCUACUGGUUUGGAAACCAAUGUCAUAGAAGUAAGGUUUACUUUAAUUCCACACUUACAAUCAACAUAUCAAAUAAAUACAUAGUUCUUCUGUACUGCUGGUAAAAAUCUAGAGUUUUUGUUAACAUCCCUUCUCUUCUCUGCUUAUC